rnacentral:rRNA from 1 species
AUUGAACGCUGGCGGCAUGCUUUACACAUGCAAGUCGAACGGUAACAGGCCGCAAGGUGCUGACGUGUGGCGAACGGGUGAGUAAUGCAUCGGAACGUGCCCAGUCAUGGGGGAUAACUACUCGAAAGAGUAGCUAAUACCGCAUACGAUCUAUGGAUGAAAGCGGGGGACCGUAAGGCCUCGCGCGAUUGGAGCGGCCGAUGUCAGAUUAGGUAGUUGGUGGGGUAAAGGCUCACCAAGCCAACGAUCUGUAGCUGGUCUGAGAGGACGACCAGCCACACUGGGACUGAGACACGGCCCAGACUCCUACGGGAGGCAGCAGUGGGGAAUUUUGGACAAUGGGCGCAAGCCUGAUCCAGCAAUGCCGCGUGCAGGAAGAAGGCCUUCGGGUUGUAAACUGCUUUUGUACGGAACGAAACGGCUCUGGUUAAUACCCGGGGCUAAUGACGGUACCGUAAGAAUAAGCACCGGCUAACUACGU